rnacentral:rRNA from 1 species
AUUGAACGCUGGCGGCAGGCCUAACACAUGCAAGUCGAGCGGAUGAAGGGGGCUUGCUCCUGGAUUCAGCGGCGGACGGGUGAGUAAUGCCUAGGAAUCUGCCUGGUAGUGGGGGAUAACGUCCGGAAAAGGGCGCUAAUACCGCAUACGUCCUGAGGGAGAAAGUGGGGGAUCUUCGGACCUCACGCUAUCAGAUGAGCCUAGGUCGGAUUAGCUAGUUGGUGGGGUAAAGGCCUACCAAGGCGACGAUCCGUAACUGGUCUGAGAGGAUGAUCAGUCACACUGGAACUGAGACACGGUCCAGACUCCUACGGGAGGCAGCAGUGGGGAAUAUUGGACAAUGGGCGAAAGCCUGAUCCAGCCAUGCCGCGUGUGUGAAGAAGGUCUUCGGAUUGUAAAGCACUUUAAGUUGGGAGGAAGGGCAGUAAGUUAAUACCUUGCUGUUUUGACGUUACCAACAGAAUAAGCACCGGCUAACUUCGUG